UACGUAGGGUGCGAGCGUUAAUCGGAAUUACUGGGCGUAAAGCGUGCACAGGCGGUUCGUCGUGUCUGAUGUGAAAGCCCCGGGCUCAACCUGGGAAUGGCAUUGGAAACUGGCGGACUAGAGUGUGGCAGAGGGGGGUGGAAUUCCGCGUGUAGCAGUGAAAUGCGUAGAGAUGCGGAGGAACACCGAUGGCGAAGGCAGCCCCCUGGGCUAACACUGACGCUCAGGCACGAAAGCGUGGGGAGCAAACAGG
rnacentral:rRNA from 1 species